rnacentral:lncRNA from 1 species
UGAUGGUCUCAUAAUAAUCUUGGUGUAUAGGAAAGAUAUACUGAACUUUAAGAAGGUUGUUGGUAUUCUGAGGUCCAAUGAGCAGAGAGAAAAGAUAUACAAAGGGAGCUCUAAUUCUAAGGUUCUUGCCAUGAAGAAAAUGCAUAGAAGAUGUAAGAAGAAGGUUAGAGAUAAGUCUUAGGGCAAAUCUAAGUCUCGGAGUCGAUAAAAACUGCAAAAUGUUAUAAGUGCUAUGAAGUUGGGCACUUUAAGAGAAACUGCCCGCU